rnacentral:rRNA from 1 species
UACAGAGGGUGCGAGCGUUAAUCGGAUUUACUGGGCGUAAAGCGUGCGUAGGCGGCUUUUUAAGUCGGAUGUGAAAUCCCUGAGCUUAACUUAGGAAUUGCAUUCGAUACUGGGAAGCUAGAGUAUGGGAGAGGAUGGUAGAAUUCCAGGUGUAGCGGUGAAAUGCGUAGAGAUCUGGAGGAAUACCGAUGGCGAAGGCAGCCAUCUGGCCUAAUACUGACGCUGAGGUACGAAAGCAUGGGGAGCAAACAAGAUUAGAAACCCGCGUAGUCC